rnacentral:lncRNA from 1 species
UUUCAGAAUAAAGUUAUUUGUUUCUGGCCAUUAUGAUCCUGUAAUCGAACCCACAAAUGCUGUUGCUCCAGAUACUCCACUAGUCUAUUGCUUCUUUUUUUAAUAAUAUUUUUUUAAUUUAUUAUAUCCCCUUUUUCGUGGUAUCCCAUUUGUAGUAGUUACUGUCUUGUCUCAUCGCUGCAACUCCCGUACGGACUCGGGAGAGGCGAAAGUCGAGAGCCAUGCAUCCCAACCAAGCCACACCCAACCAAGCCACACUGCUUCUUGACACAACGCACAUCCAACCCAGAAGCCAGCCGCACCAAUGUGUCGGAGGAAACACGUACACCCUGCCGGCCAAACCCUCCUUAACCCGGACGAUGCUGGGCCAAUUGUGUGCCGCCUCCUGGGCCUCCUGCGACAGAGCCUGGGCUCAAACCCAGAAUCUCUGGUGGCACAGCUAGCACUGCGAUGCAGUGCCUUAGAUCACUGGGCCACCCGGGAGGCCCAGUCUUAUUGGUUCUUUAAUCAGGACAACAGUUUUCAGCUGUGCUAACAUAAUUGCAAAAGGGUUUUCUAAUGGUCAAUUAGCCUUUUAAAAUGAUAAACUUGGAUUAGCUAACACAAUGUGCCAUUGGAACACAAUUAUGUUGGUUGCUGAUAAAUGGCCUAUGUAGAUUUCCAUAAAAAUUGUGCAGUUUCCAGCAACAAUAGUCAUUUACAACAUUAACAAUGUUUACACUGUAUUUCUAAUCAAUUUGAUGUUAUUUUAAUGGGCAAAAAAUGUGCUUUCCUUUCAAAAACAAGGACAUUUCUAAGUGACCCCAAACGUUUGAAGGUAGUGUAUGGUAAUUGCACUUUUGACAGGUUGACUGUGACUUAAUGAUUGUUUGGUUAUGUUUAGGUUUACAGCACAUUGUCCCAUUAAUGGUUAUAAAUGUUUAUAAAAGGUUUAACAAAAAACAAUAAUAUACUGGCACACAUCACUCUUCUUCUCCCUUCAUCUCCCAAUGGACCACUGUUCUCCCUCUCCCUUCAUCUCCCCAAUGGACCACUGUUCUCCCCUCUCCCUUCAUCUCCCCCAUGGACCACUGUUCUCCCUCCUUCAUCUCCCCAAUGACCAUGUCUCCUCUCCCUUCAUCUCCCCAAUGGACCCUGUCUCCCCCUCCCCUUCAUCUCCCCAAUGGACCAGCUCUUUCUCUCUCCCUUCAUCUCCCCCAAUGGACACUGUUCUCCCCCUCUCCCUUCAUCUCCCCAAUGGACCACUGUUUCUCCCUCUCCCUUCAUCUCCCCCAAUGGACCACUGUUCUCCCUCUCCCUUCAUCUCCCCCAAUGGACCACUGUUCUCCCUCUCUCCUUCAUCUCCCCCCAUGGACCACUGUUUCUCCCCUCUCCCUUCAUCUCCCAAUGGACCACUGUUCUCCCUCUCCCUUCAUCUCCCCAAUGGAACGCUCUUCUCUCUCUCCUUCAUCUCCCCCAAUGGCCACUGUUCUCCCCUCUCCCUUCAUCUCCCCCAAUGGACCACUGUUCUCCCCUCUCUUCUUCAUCUCCCCCAAUGGACCACUGUUCUCCCCUCUCCCUCUCUCCCCCAAUGGACCACUGUUCUCCCCCUCUCCUUCAUCUCCCCAAUGGACCACUGUUCUCCCCUCUCCCUUCAUCUCCCCAAUGGACCACUGUUCCCCCCUCUCCCUUCAUCUCCCCCAAUGGACCACUGUUCUCCCCUCUCCCUUCAUCUCCCCCAAUGGACCACUGUUCUCCCCUCUCCAAUCAUCUCCCCCAAUGGACCACUGUUCUCCCCUCUCCCCAUCAAACCCUUCACUCCAUCUUUGUGAAGUAUGGUGUUGUUUCUUUCAUUGACUCUCCAUCAUCCCUCGGGGGUUUUCAGUCUGUGAGAGUUAAUAAGCUUGAAAUUGGUCAGUUCGUUGUUGAGUAUUCUGUGGGAAGUGUCGAGGAGUGAUGCUGGGGCCUGGUUUCCAUUUUGAAUACAUUCCAUUCUAAAAACAUUUAGAUAAAAGCCAUGCAUUGAUGUUUGACGUUAUUGUAAUCAUAUAUGACAUAUUUGAAAUGUACAGUGUGUCCCAAAACAAAUAUCACUAUUUGCCAUCUCAAUGUGACCUCUUUCAUUGUAG